GGCUGCAAGGAGGUGAGCCCGGCAUCCUCCCAGCAGGGCAGGAGCCAGAGGCCGGCCAUAGGCUUGAUCCUUCUGCUCUCAGUACCUGGAAGGAGAAGGGGACCAGUGAUGCUGAGCUUUUGUCAUUACGUGGCAUGAUGCCACCUAGCAGAUGACUUACUGAUGGUCUGUCUCCCCUAAUAAAACGCCAGCUCCGUGAAGGCGGGGACUUCUGCCUGUCUUGUUUGCUGGUGGGUCCUCGUGCCUGGAACAGAGCCUGGCGUGGUAGAUGCUCCGUAAAGCGCAGUGGAUGUGGGGCUGAUGGAAGCUCGGUUGUGGACGAGAGGAACGAUGAGCUUUCAACUUUCGUGAGUUAUCCUCAAUUCAGUCAUUUUCAUACAUAUACACACACGUACGCGCUUAGGAAUGUACUAUUUGCGGUUGUGAAAAUGCAGUUGCUCAUCUUCUGCCCUGAGAGUCUGGAAAAGUUUAUGAAUCUCAAAUAGUACCCGCUGGCAUUGUCCGGUACCACACAUCACUUCCCUUUCGUCUCGCCGCAUGCUUACAAUACAGGCUCAAGUUGGCAUCAGAAUUUUCCACUAGACAGUCUGCGAGUUCCAGCAGCGACUCGGAGGUGUUCCUCCCUCAAAGCCACAGCCGAGUUCAGGGCCCCGGGGGAGAAACCACCUAGUGAAUUGGGAAAGGAGUCUGGGUCACAGGCAGAGGAAUUUCCUUCCACUUUCCCCCUUUGCUCCUCUCCAGACAGACCUGCCUUUCCUCUUGGGUGUUAUUUCUUAAAGACUUCAAGCAAAGCAUUUAACCACAGGUAGAUGUUCCUUACGUGGCCAUAGAUUCUGGAUAUGGGUAUUUGGAAACUGUGGAGGUAUUCUUUGUUAAAGUAUAUGAAAUGAGAAUUAGCUUCUAAAUAUUGUAUAAGGGUUUGAUCAGAGAAAGUAAAUUACCUGGAGCCAUUUCCCUGGGGAAUCGGACCUUAUGCAAAUGUGGGAGCUGGCUCUCUGGCGCCUGUGAGCCUCUUUCUUUGAACAUGAUGCUGGGUGUCCAAGAAAGGAAGGAUGGAUGAGAACUGGGAGCAGGUGAGGAUGAGCCAGAGCCACAGACUAGAAGCCCCGCCCAAGUGACCUGCAGGAGAAGGUGGCCUCCUUCCUCCCAGAACCAAAUAGGCACCUGCCAGGAUUCGAGGAGCUGGAGGCUGCGGGCUCGUUGCUGCCCCUGGCCAGGCUGUGUGCCCCCUGCACCCACCCUCCAAGCAUAAGAGCUGUAGAUCUGCUUCUCCACGUUUACCUUCCAAAUCUUGCCUCAAAUGCCUCCUGUGGCCCACGCUAACCAGAAACUAUGCAGGGAAAGGAAUUCUGCAAAUUCCAACUUCGCUGAGUUGACACAAUCCAAACCCGCCACAAUGAGUACAUCAAAAAGUAAAUGGCGCUAAGUGAAUUGAUUUGGCCUUUUAGCAGAAAUGUCACUCCCCAGCUGUCAGCUUAAAUGUAGACAUUGAAAAUGUACAUAUGAAAAAGUUCUGCUAUUGUAGGAAAGGCUUAGGGGCCAGAAAACGUAGAUUCUGACUUUUAGAAUUACUAGCUGUGUGACCUAGAACAAGUUACUUAACCUCUCUGAAAGUGCAUUGCCUCACUUGUAAAAGGGGGGAUUAAAAAUACCUACUGUAUAUAGGUAAUACGUACAAGAUUUAGGACAAUGAUGGCAUACAGUAAAUGCUGAAUUCAUCCAGGCACAUAAUGUGUGUCAGAUUGUGUGGUGCUGUUUUUAGAAGGUCAUCACCCCACCUGAGGCUCUCACUGAACUGAAUCCGUGACGUCAAGGGUGAUGAUUAAGUGACCAACAUAAAUGAACCAAUGAACUAUACCCCUGGGUACUAGGAAGAAUGGGUGGGUUGCCCCAUUUCAAAAUAAGCUAAACUUUAGUAGUUUAUCAAUUAAGUGGCUGAGCCGGGACAAGAUGCUUGACCUUCUUCUGAUAGCUCACCCAGAGCCCUUUACCACCCAGCCUCGAGUCUCUCCUGCGUAGUGGAACAUGUUGGGGGUACCACGAGGAAGCGGCUUUGUAUUCAGAGGCUGUUGCUAUUUACUUUCUCAUCAUUGCAAAGUUGUAGCAAAUGGUUGGAGUUCUUCACAGGCUGCCCUGGAGAAAGACUUCUUAGAGACACGGAGACAGGGAGCUCUACUUCCCUUCAGAGAAGUCUGGAUGUUCUGCUUUGGCCAAGUUCCCUCUGGUCGUGUUCCUUCCUUCCGUCAGUCAGCCAGUCAUCCAACAAAGUAGGUUAAUAAUCUACUAUGAGCCAAGCACUGUUCUAGAAUCUGCAAACACAGCAGUGAACAAAACAGACAUGGUUGGUCCUGCUGUCACGGUAUUUACAUGCUUCUAAGGCUGUGGUGACCAGGCUCCAAGAUGGCCCCAGUGAUCCUUGCCUCCUGGUGUUCAGACCCAUCUGUGGUCCCCUCCCACACUGGAUAGGGAUGAGUUACGUCUGCCUCUCUCUGUCUCUCACACACACACACACACACACACACACACACACACACACACACACGUGUUGGAAAUGCCUUCUGGGUGAGGUUGUGGAGACAUCAUGCCUUCUCUCAUGCUCUCUCCCAAAUCCCUCACCCUGAGAAGCCCCAGCUGCUGUGUUGUGAGGACACAGAAGCAGCCCGACGUGGCGGGCUCCCGCAGAGUGAGAUCCCACGCCGUGGAAGGGAGCCAUCUUGGAAACAGAACCUCCAGCCCCGGUCAAGCCUUCAAAUGAGGCUGCAGCCCCAGAGGCACCUUGAUUGCAGCCUUAGGAAAGAGCCUGAGCCAGAACUGCCCCCCUAAGCUGCCGCCACAUUCCUGACCUGCAAAAGCUGUAAGACAAUCAGUGUUUGUUGUCUUAAGCCAUUACGUUUGGGAGUAAUUUGUUAUGCACCAAUAGAUAAUGAAGAUGUGCGGAGAGACGGAUAAAGCCUAGAAGAAUCCCAGAGGAAGGUUAAGUCCUAUGGAGAAAAAAUAAAGCAGGAAGGGGACCAGGCAGGUGGUGAGAAUCGCAGCUUUUAAUAAGCCAGGCAGGCAAGGCCUCACUAAGGAGGUGACAGGUGAUUAAGGUCUGAAAGGAGAUGGAGGGUUUAACUGGGUGGAAGAGUGUUCCCGGCAGAGGGAUCAGCAAGUGCAAAGGCUCUGGGGCAGGGGCUUGAGUGUGUCCGAGGGUCAGCAAAGAAGCUGAUGAGGCUGGACCAGGUAAAGGGGGAGAUGAUAAAGAUGAGGUCAGAGAGAUGACAAGGGGCCUGGCCGUGAGGCACGGAAAGCUCCGUGAUGAGCUGAUGGUCAUAAUGGCUCGUGACUUGGGUGUGCCUCAGUGCCGGCCGUGGCCCUUCCAUCAUUGCUUCCUUCAGUCCUCAUCAGGGGCACUAGCCCCAUUUGCCGGAGGAGGAAACUGAGGCCCACAGAAGUUAACUUACUUACUUAAGGCCACACAGUCAAGAGGUGACAGAGCCAGGAAUUACACCUGUGUCUUAAUCAAACUCGGGUCCUCCAGCCUGUGGGCUGGAAUUUGGCCGGAGAGGCAGAAGCAGGGGCCCUGCCUGCCUCCCUGAGGCAUCGUGACACUUCAGAUGCUCUUUGUUUAAACUGGGAUCUGCGGAAUCCGCGCGGAGGGAGUUAAGUGCACAUGUCUCAAGCCCGGGAGUGAGCACAGGCCAUCAAUGACCCGCUGGGGUGGAAUUUGGGGCGCGCCCACAGUUCUGAGGAUCAGCAAAGAAGCUUGGAGGCGCUCCAGCCCCAGGGACAGCAGGACCAGCCGAGGCCCCCUUGGCAGCGGGCACGGCGGCUCCGGUGCCGGCUCCCCACAGACAUGCAUGAGUCAGCGCCGGGCAGCCCCGCGCGGUCUGCCGGGGACACGCCGUUCUGCGGGGCCGCAGCUCCCACGGGGAGCCAGGGCUGAGCGGGCAGGGCCUCUGGAAAAAUGCUGCGGUGGGUACACCCUGGCACUCCUCUGUGUUCCGUGCUGCCCCAAAUUCGCCCGUGGCCUCCUGCCAGCCAAGUGGGAUUCAGUACAUUGGUUUUUUCAAAAAGCCAGUAGAGCACUUUUUGAGAAGUCCCAGGCCCAGAUGUUAGGCUUUGCUGCUUUCUCUCCCCGGGUCAGAACAGCAGCAUCGUGUGGACGGAGUGCCAGGUGCUGGGUGGAGAUGCGUGUUGUUCUGUCACGUUUGGCCCUCGGCCCAGUCUUGGGGGUGGGGGUGGGCUGUCUCUAUUAUUCCCAUUUUCCAAGUGAUGAAACGGAGGUGCAGAGAGCUGAGAAAACCCGACCGAGGGUAGGAGGGAGUUCUCCCGCUGUGCAGUGUGACCCUUCUAGGGACCUUGGGUUAAUCCAAGGUCACAGGGAGGGGCAGGGAGGGAGCUGAGGGCACCCCACCCCUCCCGCUUCCAUGCGAGUGCUCUGUUCUUAUAGGUGGGGCUUCUGGUUAAUAGCAUUCAUCUAAAUAAACAAGACUCCCCUUGAUAAUUUGUGCGAAUAAUUCAAAGUGUACAAAGCAGACUCUCAGUUGCCGCCUAAUCAACAUCCACUCUUUCUUUCUUCCAGAGUAAAGCCCCAGUUUUCAUCAGUGUGGCAUUGUGUCCAGUUAAAAGACCCCACUCCCAGCAGAGUCUGACUCCUGACCCCUAGAAGCCUGAGAUUAAAAAUGUCUUAAGCUACUAGGUUUGGGGGCAAGUCGUUAUGCAGCAGGAGAUGACCUAUACAGACGGCGGGAAUUAGCCAAGUGUCAGGAGGGAAGAGAAGGAGGGUGGGAGGCCCUUCUGGGCAUGGGCCCCAGGUUGCAGGGGCCUAGAAGGAAGAGAGAUUGGUAUGAGCAGGACCCCAGGGGUCUGGCUGGGUUAGAGAGCAGGCUGCAGAUGUCCAUUCCACGAGGUCAGGAACUUGACCUGUUCACCCACCAACGUAUCUCCAGUGCCGGGAAUGUGAAGCCUGGCCAUGCAGUAGGUGCUCAAUAAAUGUACAGGAAGGGUGGUCAAGGAAACUGAAUGCAAAGGAAACCCCCCCCUCCUUUUUUUGGCUCGCCCGCAGCAUUCGUCUAAAUAAACAAGACUCCCCUUGAUGGAAGUUCCUGGGCCAGAGAUGGAAUCUCAGCUGGAGUUGUGCUCUAUGCCACAGCUGCAGCAAUGCCAGAACCUUAACCCAUUGCACCGGACCAGGGACUGAACCGGUGCCUCCACAGAGACAAGCUGGAUCAUUAACCCAUGUGCCACAGCAGGAACUCCAAAGAAGAAUCUUGAGAGGAUUGCUCAGGGCACAAACCUGAGGCCGUCCUCCUCUCCGAGCCUGGACUGGUCCUCCAGCCCAAGGGCACCUCAGCUGGCAUUUCAGCAGGAUGAUUGCCACCCAGGGAGGGUGGCCUGGGCAGAGGGGCUAAGGGACAAGAAGCGGGAGCAGAGGGGGUGCUGACACAGGCCUGCGGGCCAGGGGUGGCCUGGACCAGGCUGGCCACUGGGGAGGGGAGAACAUGACGGGAGGGGGAGCAUCAAUUAGGAGGAGAGCCCACAGGACCUGCCCACGGAUGGGCUGUGUGGGCCACAGGAAAUGGGAGCCCCAAGGGACACCUACCUCUGUGGUACUGGGAGGAUGCUGGGGCCGUUUUGGGGCAAUGGAAUACAUCGGGGGCGUGAUUUGGGGCAGGUCACUUAGCCUCUGCAUCCUCAGUUUUAGUCAUCAGUAAAGUCGGGUGAGCAGAUCCUACCUGGUAGGGCUGUUGCAAAAAUUAAAUGCGAUAAUGGCUAAAGACAGCUGGAAAAAAAAA
rnacentral:lncRNA from 1 species